rnacentral:rRNA from 1 species
GAUGAACGCUGGCGGCGUGCCUAAUACAUGCAAGUCGAGCGAACGGACGAGAAGCUUGCUUCUCUGAUGUUAGCGGCGGACGGGUGAGUAACACGUGGAUAACCUACCUAUAAGACUGGGAUAACUUCGUGAAACCGGAGCUAAUACCGGAUAAUAUUUUGAACCGCAUGGUUCAAAAGUGAAAGACGGUCUUGCUGUCACUUAUAGAUGGAUCCGCGCUGCAUUAGCUAGUUGGUAAGGUAACGGCUUACCAAGGCAACGAUGCAUAGCCGACCUGAGAGGGUGUUCGGCCACACUGGAACUGAGACACGGUCCAGACUCCUACGGGAGGCAGCAGUAGGGAAUCUUCCGCAAUGGGCGAAAGCCUGACGGAGCAACGCCGCGUGAGUGAUGAAGGUCUUCGGAUCGUAAAACUCUGUUAUUAGGGAAGAACAUAUGUGUAAGUAACUGUGCACAUCUUGACGGUACCUAAUCAGAAAGCCACGGCUAACUACGUG